rnacentral:rRNA from 1 species
GGGGAAUAUUGCACAAUGGGCGAAAGCCUGACGCAGCAACGCCGCGUGAUUGAUAAAGCCCUUCGGGGUGUAAAGAUCUGUCAGUGGGGACGAAACUUGACGGUACCCACAGAGGAAGCACCGGCUAACUCCGUGCCAGCAGCCGCGGUAAUACGGAGGGUGCAAGCGUUGUCCGGAAUCAUUGGGCGUAAAGAGUUCGUAGGUGGUUUGUUAAGUUUGGUGUUAAAUGCAGAGGCUCAACUUCUGUUCGGCAUCGGAUACUGGCAGACUAGAAUGCGGUAGAGGUAAAGGGAAUUCCUGGUGUAGCGGUGAAAUGCGUAGAUAUCAGGAGGAACAUCGGUGGCGUAAGCGCUUUACUGGGCCGUAAUUGACACUGAGGAACGAAAGCCAGGGUAGCAAAUGGGAUUAGAUACCCCAGUAGUCCUGGCCGUAAACGAUGGAUACUAGGUGUUGCGGGUAUCGACCCCUGCAGUGCCGUAGCAAACGCGUUAAGUAUCCCGCCUGGGGAGUACGCACGCAAGUGUGAAACUCAAAGGAAUUGACGGGGACCCGCACAAGCGGUGGAACAUGUGGUUUAAUUCGAAGCAACGCGAAGAACCUUACCAGGGCUUGACAUCUAACAAACCUUUGUGAAAGCAGAGGGUGCUCUUCGGAGAAUGUUAAGACAGGUGGUGCACGGUUGUCGUCAGCUCGUGUCGUGAGAUGUUGGGUUAAGUCCCGCAACGAGCGCAACCCUCGUCGUUAGUUGGUACUAUCGGUAUACUUAUAGUAACCUCUCUAGCGAGACUGCCGGUGAUAAACCGGAGGAAGGUGAGGACGACGUCAAAUCAUCAUGCCCCUUAUGCUCUGGGCUACACACGUGUUACAAUGGCCGGUACAAUGAGCCGCCAACUCGCGAGAGUGAGCAAAUCUCUAAAAGCCGGUCUCAGUUCGGAUUGCAGUCUGCAACUCGACUGCAUGAAGUCGGAAUCGCUAGUAAACGCAGAUCAGCACGCUGCGUUGAAUACGUUCCCG